UCUCUGGAGAGAUACAGAGACAGACAGAGUGAGACACACGUGAUGGGAGUGGGUGAGUAAUCCUGGGGGCAGGGAUUGUUGUUGUUGUUGUUAAUAAACUUAUGGUACCGGGAGUCUAAAGCUCGGCAGCGGUCACCCCAAGAGAGUCAGAUUAAAGACAAACCGUGUGCGUGUAUUUUCUUGGUAAAGGGCAAGGGUAUGCACAUGAAAACUUUGAAGUAAACAUGACACUGGGGUGAUGUCCGGAAUAUGCUCCCUGCAGCUUUAAGGCUGCAAUUCUUCUAACAUAAUUUUAGCUGCUACUAUCUCAAGAACUGCUAUAGUUAGAAAGCAAGCCAGUGAACUAAACAGCCUGCAAGAGAGUAAUCCCAGCUUCCAAAUCCCUCUCUGUAGUGGUUAGCAAGGCACUGGCUGCCACACUCAUGUCAGACUAGAAACUGGGAAAAACACUCUGCUCUUUUAUAGCAUCUUCCCGUUAUCAGUCGUCUGCCACCCCUGCAAGGUGGGAUCAGGGAACGGGUGCAGAACUUUCUUCCAGUCACAGGAAAAGCUGGUAGCAGAGCUCCGAGCUAAAUCUGGAUGACCAAAAGAUCCCUUUCACCGUCUACCUGCUUGAAGUACUGAAGGGGUACCCCACUCUCGGAGCAGGCUAAGUGCCUUUAAAAUGAAGCUUUUCAUUUCUACUUCCCACAGACAUCAAUAUUUAACAGAGAAGUCUCCCUCACAGGAAACAAAUGAUUAUCGCUUCCACUCUUUCCUCCUAUAAUAUCAAUCCUGAUCAAUCUCGUUGGUAUUGGCAUGGGAAUAGAUGGAUAUAGAUUUCACCGGGAAUCCCUUGGAGGCUGGAGUUGGGACAGCCUCAUCUCGAUUACCUGGCUGGGCUGGCAGGACACUGCACACAUCCCAGAGAAAAACCCUCCUUGGAUCAAUAGAAACCCGCCGCGGAGCUCAGCAGAGCCAGAUCAACUUCCUGCGCUGUGGUCAGACUCGUUCCUUUGAGACCAGGAGGUCUCCUGGGGUAGGGCAGGACUGGUGUCUGCUGCACGGUGGAGGCGAGCUCUGGGAUUCCCCCUUACACACACGCAGCCUGACCACAGAAGUGGCAGAGGCGAGCUCGCAGACCUGGGCCGAGGGUAAACACUCCCGGCACGUGACUCGGCUGCCUUGACGUCGCUGCCCUGGCACUACUCCCAGCAAUUACGGCAUCGCACAUGCUCCUGCCCCCACGCUCUCCCCACAGAUCCCGGCCUGCUGCUGGUCUUAUUGGGUGUUUUGUUGCAGCUACUGCUGCUACAGCCUCGCUCGGGCAGCAGGAGGGGAAGAGGCAGGCUACCAGAACAGCAUGCCCUGGUUUCGGGCACAAUUUGUAACGAGGCAGAAUUUAUUCUCCUGGUUUCGCUGAUGUAAAUCUGGAGUAGCUCCCACUGACUUGAGCUGAUCUAUAUUCUAGCAAAUUCAAAAUAUAUCUUGCCCUCUUUUCGGAGACAAAGAGCGAUGAGGCAUGUGUGCAUGUGGGACGGAGCACGGGGAGGCACGAAUCUUCCCGAGGCAGGACUCGGGGAGCUGCGCUGAUCCCUGCUUCCCGUUGCCUUACCUGGUAGUUGCACUCUGGGUCAAGGCAGUGGUAAUGUUCUCGGUACUGGUAUGCACAGUGUAUGUGUCCACAGUGCUGGCUGCCAGAGAACCUGCGAGCACGAGAGAAGCACAGAAGAGAGAAAGGAAGAGAGAGUGAAAUGGUGCCCUGUCCUGGCAGCAGUGUCUGUAAGCACGGCACAAAGGGAGUAGGUCCCACUCCUGCAUCCCACGUGUUCAGGUCAUCAAACCCUAUCAACUUGACCACCUCCGAGGAUGGUGAUCCCUCCCACCUUCCCUUUGUUAUUUGUCACUGCUUAAAAAGGUGUUUCCUGAGCAAGAUCUUUCUGGGCUUUUACCUCCCCGAGCCGCAUGUGCUUUUCUUGGAAAUUCACCUCCAUUCUUUAGAAGCCGCUUACCUGGGAAGAGCAAGCAAGUGCGGCUGGUUCCCUGAACUAAACACCACACAGAUCGAGUUUGGAUACCUCAGCAGUGAGUUUCAGAAACUUCCCACACCACGAGGAGACAAAUUAACAUCGGUCAAAUACAGACCCUAGGCAUGUGCGCAUCCAGCAGGACCUCCGAAAAGCUCAGGCAUUCGUUUGUUUGUACAAGUUAUGCCUCGGUGUUUUUCUUUCUGGUUGCAAUAUGGUGUCACGCUACUGGGAAGGCUGCAAGGCAGCAGAGGGUAAGCCACAAAGGCAGUGGAAAAUCGUGGCACGAUUAUGUAGGAGCUCUUCCAGUGAGAUGGAGAGUAAGGGAAGGACAGGGCGAUGGAGCAGCAGGGCCAGGAUGAACGCUGCAGGCAGACCUGUGUGCACGUCCCUCCCCAUGCACAACAGCGCUGACCGGUCCCGCUAAUCAUCAUUUUCCACGUGGAUGCAGAUUUGCUCACGACAAGGUACUGCAAGGCAGAGCCACGGGGCUUCCAGCCUGCCUCACGUGCAGGUGAGAGCAGGGCACAAGGACAGCAGCCAGCAACGCGCACCCGCUCCAUUCACCUCCACCCAGCCCUCCACACAACAAAUCUGGGAAGUCCUGGCAUACGGGGUGGGAAAAAGGGCAGAAAGGCUGUAUGGUAUCUGCAGAUAAAUGGACGCUUGGGCUGCCAGACAGAGCAGUAACUGGGGAAGGGGUGGUGCAGCACCGGGCUGCUCCGGGCAGGGAUCUCCGGUGCGUGUUCCAGAGGAACCUGGAGGAGCUGAAGAGCUUGAAAGGGAAAAGCAGCGGAGGGAAGGGGACUCAGAGGGGAAACAUUGAAAGAUAAAGUGCCAUCUGCUCAAAGGUUCCUCACGUCACUUUGUGCUAAACGCACCGGGAGCGCACAUGAUAAAGGGCAUCGGAAAGAAAUGAGGAAGGAGAGAGGGAAAAAAAGGGAAAAAAGGGAAAAAAGGGAAAAAAGGAAAAAAAGGAAAAAAAGGAAAAAAAGGAAAAAAAAGGAAAAAAAGGAAUAAAAGGGGGGUGAAGGUGUUCUGGGGCAAUGGGUGGAGGGGGCAGGAGCAGGGAGGAUUAUGGAGUGUUGUAAGGGGCACUGUGUGAGCACUAAGCUGCAGGGCAGGAAAGGGAGCCGGGAUGAAAAGCAGCACUAAAUACACGUCCUGAAGUGCAGUGAGGAAGAGGAGGUCAGCUGUGGAGACAGCAGGGCCUCCUGGAGAUGGAGAGGGGGCUUAAUUGACAGAAAAGAUAGACAAUGCUAAAAAAUUAAAUGCCUUCUUUGCCUCAGCGUUCACAAAGGGAGACGGGGACAGAUGCCAGGAGCAGACUUGCCUUUCCCUGGGGAAGGAGAAGAAAUACUGCAGGAAAUCGGGAUCACGCCAGAACAGGUGAUUGAGAAACUGGAACAAACCCCGGCAGCGGAGAAGAAACAAACCACAAGGCAAACAGCAACGCUGGCUGCGCAAACAGAGGUGUGGAGCUGGGAGGGGAGGCAGCGAGCCCGGCCGGCGGCGGGGCAGUGGCGAGGCUCGCACGGGGCACGGGCAGCAGCCUGAGUCACCGGGACACCAAGCAGCACCCCAGCAGCCCGUCCUGCUGCUCCGGGGCUGCGUGUCAGCAGCCUGGAAAGGCCGAGGAACUGCUCGGUGGAAAGCUUCCUCCCUGCCGCAGGGAUGAGAUGGGGAGGAGAGAGCAAAGGGCUGGAGGGCUGGGGAGUGCUGGCCAGGCAGGGAGGAGGGGAAGACAGAGAGCUGGCAAAGGCAGCGCUCCGGCAGAGCUGUCCAAAAGGGCAUCCCAAGCGAGGAUGCGAACGCAGCAGUGAUGCCAACUGCAGCAGCAGAAGGGCCAGGCACCAAAGCAAUCUGCCUGGAUGGGAUGAGUUACUUGGAGCAUCCGAACAGGAGCCGCUCACAGGCUCAGCUCCAAGGGCAUCAGCUGAGUGAGCUCCCCGGCCCUGCAAACCCUGCCCUGGCAGAGGUGUGAGUGUGUGAGUGUGUGAGUGUGUGUGUGAGUGUGUGAGUGUGUGUGUGAGUGUGUGUGUGCAUGGGUGGCAGUGGCUGUGGGUGUGUUUGUGGGGUGCCCGGCGCAGGAAGGGAGCGGCGGGCGCUCGACCACGCUGAGCGCGCGGGGAAGGAGGGAAGCGGCACGCACAGCACCACGGGGCGAGGCGGCUCCUGCAGGCUGCAGGGCCAGGCUCCUAAAGGGUUAUCUUUAUCCUCUGUUUCUUCUGACACUUGAAACAGUUCAAAGCUAUUAAUUUUUAAAGCACAGCAUCUGUUUAGCUUUUCCCUAACAGGAAAGCUCGCGCAGCACACACUCACUUACACGCACACACACGCGCCCAUCUCCGUGCCCUGCUCCGAGGAGCAUCGACACCCCUGGUAAUUUACAGGACCGGACCCGCAGUUUGCAUGCACAUGAGCAGGCACGAGCACACGCACACCUGAUUGCAAACUCGCAGCCCAUUUCAGCACGCCGAUAUGCAAAUCCAGGCUCCUGAGUUGUGCGCACAGGCACAGAGAUUCAUUUUCACAAGUGCAACUCCCUCCCCCUUCCCUUACUUUAAUCUCUUCACUUUUUUUUUUUUUUUCUUUUUUGCCAGAAAGAACUAGUCUCGAUCUGGCAAGAGUUAGAACGAAAAACCAAGAUAAAUAAAUAAUAAUAAAAAUAAUAAAUAAAGAAGUCAGCAUGCUUAGUGAGUGUUUACAGACUCAUUACCCUGUAACGAUGAUGUGAAAGAAGGAAGAAAAAAACCCACCCCAAUUACAAGGGGGGGAGGAAACCCACACAGAAAUAAAUAUUUAAGCAAGUGCUGCCAGAAGCACCAUCUGCUGAGGCACUAAUAAUAAUAAUAAUAAUUUUUUCUGUGGUCUUUUUUUUUUUUUUUAAUUAUAAAUAUAGAGGGGGAAAAAAAAAGCACAAAAAACAACCCAACCCAAACUAGCUAAGUAAGAGGUUUUGUUUUGUUGUGUGAGAGAAUGGAUUAUCCCUGGGCAGCUUUUGGCAGUGGCUUUGGCAAACUCAUUAAGCUAAUUAUGCAGCGCAGACAUACAGUGUCGUGUCUCUCUCCCCCCCCACCCCCCCCACCCCCUUGAUUUUAAGGCUUUAAACUGUUUUUAAAAUUGUGUGUAAAUUGAAGGGAAGUGGCUGUGCUGCCAACGGGCGGCUUGCGGAGCUCUCUGAGCAGGAUGUGGUGUCCCUGAGCUAUCUCACAAGCCUCCCUCGGUUACCUGCCUGACCCCGGGGAAGGGGCUUGCAGAGCGCUCCGAGGUGUGGAUGUGGUCGCGAUUACACGGGGCUCUGCUUCAGAGGGGAGCUGGGGACAGAGCGGGUGGCAUCGCCUCUCCCUCUGCAACCUCCGAGCACAACCGAGCUGCGUCUCAGCAGUAAAAGGGCGCUGCUGCUCCUGCCCCACACCAAGGGCUUGGAGCCCUGCUCUCAUUCCCAGACCCUCCCAGGAGGCAGCAAGGGGCUGAUGUGUGUGCAAGACACCUACCGGUGUCUUUCCGUAAACGGGGCUGGCAUGGUUAGCUCCGUGCCAGUACGGAGGGAGGAUCCAGCAGGCCAAGAGCAGGGGCUGGUGAGUGACAAAAAGAGGCAGGUGCCGUGCAAUAACCUCCCCUGUCCCUGGUGGCAUCGCCCCGUGCAGCACUGCAGCCUGGGCUCCCUCUCAGCAUCGCUUGUUCCUUGCCCAGAGCUGAGCUGAGGUGCCCCAGCCCGCACCUUCCUCACAAAGGGUUUCUCAAAUAAAGGAGCUGCAAAAUAUCCCCCCCUGACGCUGAGACCUGCCUAAACUCAGUUUCGCUCGUGGAUUCCUCCCAGCCUGGGUUCUCAGGGGCGAGAUGUUCUCUGCCUGCCUCCCGUGGGCACUGGACGUGGCAGGGGGAAGAGGCAGGAGCUGGCACCGCAGCGGGCACAGCCUGACAGCUAGGAGACGGCGCUCCCAUUUACAUCACGGGCUUCUGCAGGGAAACAUUUUUCCACUAUUUGUCACAACGUCUAACAGCUCUGGGGAGCCGAGCAUGCUCUUGGCAUGCCUGUACACCUCUCACAGCUACUGCUCUCCCAGGCAGGGGAACAGAGCGAGCACAGAUGCCAGAGGGAAAUGGAAGUGCCAAGGGCUGGUUUAAACACUUGGCCCGGCUGGCCGAGACCUCCUGCCUGCCCCCACCGCCCCACCCUCGUCCUUCCAGCCCUCUCCCCAAGAAAGCCCGGAGUUUUGCCUACCUGGCAAUAUACUUCUGGUAAAUAUUUACAUCUUCGCUGACGGCUGGUUUGUCAGUGGGUAAUCCGUUCCUAGUGAGAAACACACAGGGCAGAGCUGGUUAGCGGAGGGACAGGGCACGGCCGCGCUCCUGGUUUCGCUCUCACGCCUCGAGGUAACUGGGUACCCGUGUGCGGACCUGGGGUGGCCACGGGAAGACCAAGAGCUCCCUGAGCACCUUGCAAUACCACCUGCUUUUGCAGAGAUGAGGCAUUUAUGUACCUUAAUCACUGAAAACCAAACAGCACCCAAAUGCCAGAUGAGCUCGGGUGACUAGGCACCGUUAGGAAGCAGACAGAAGUUGCAUCCCACUCACCCUCUCCUCCUACUCACGGCAGCUCUGCAGCCUGGUUUAACAAGGACACCUUUGCCCAGGGUUUGCUUGGAGUAAGAGGAGCUCAGGGCAGGUUUCAUAGCAUUAGGUGGCAGAGCUGCAACCCAUGGCUGGGAUAGGUGCAUAUGUGUGAGAGCGAGGGGUAAUUCCUGCCAGGUUUUUGGGCCCAGGGGGGUCUGAAGGGGAAGGCAGGUCCCAGACAGCAGGGAGCACCUCCUCCACCAGCACAGUUAAUGAGCUGCCUUCCUUUAGCACAAAACCCUGUGCCUAGCAGGCAGCCUGAAGGAGAAGGAUCAGAGCCACUCCAGUGCUCCGGCGUGUGAUCAGGUGCCCCUGGUCACCCCCAGCCCCACCACCAUGCCCCAGCCAAGGCAGUUUUGGGGCACGGGGAGGAGGGAUCACCAUGGUGCUGCAAACCCCAUCCGCAGGCGGCAGGAAAUGAGCACGAGAAAGGCAAUCAGACCGGGAUCCCAGCACAACGCGGAGGCAGAGGAGCGGAGGCUCGCAGCCCCCGCACACAGCUCGACGGUGGCCACGGCACAGCCAGCAGCUGAGCACCUUGGAGACCCGGCAGGCACAGAGCCCCCGGCCACAGUCACCCCUCACAACAAGGCACUGAGCCUCCAGGAACAUUUACAGCAGUGGUUUUUAGUAAGAGCAGUGCCUGCCUGCCAUCUGGAGCACGUACCAGCUUCGCCCCGACCGGGGAGCAGAUGCGAACGGCUGUAAUCCUUUACCCUCUGCCGUACAGCCAGGUGAGGAUUCAGCCCAAGGCUUCCCAACAGUGAGGACAGGUAAAUCCGAGCCAUCAGAACAAAACAGGCACGUGCCUCCCUCCCUGCUUGCAGCCUGACUUGGAUAAAUCAGGGGACUGUAAGACUUAAAGGGUCUGUUGGGCAGAAUUUGGCCCUUUUUCACGAGGCAGCAGAGGUUUCAGGACCCCCAGCAGCCCUGGCACUCUCACCGUGCCAUGGCAUGAACUGCAGCGUGGUGCUGUGUCUGUGCCCCUCGGUCCAACACUGCCUUUCCUGCAGCUCCCACCUCUGGAAGCCAAGCUACGAAGGAAGCCAAGGUUUGGCAAGGCCUUUGGCCAUCUCCAUUCAGUCCACAGCAUCGCUGCAGAGAUUGCCAGCACCGUGUGUGUAGGAGGUUAUUAGUGGUAAUUGGGCUAAUGAGUUUGCCCAGUCUGGGGGGUAAUUGAAUCACCUCUAUUUGUGUAAGGAACAGGCAAAUUGAGAAGACACAGGCCUGGUCCCACAAAAGCACGUCUAUGCCUAACUCCUAUGAAAAUUAAUGGGAAUUAGGCACUCAAAUGUCUUCAGUGGUCUGGGACGCACAAAAGGGCCCCAUCUUGCCAACAGCCAGCAGAGGUUUGCCAUCGAGUUGGAUGGCAGCAAGGCUCAGGCUCUCCUGCAGCCAUGGCUGGCCGCCUGGGGCACCGCAGGGAGAAGGAAGGAAGCAGUUACGAUCUCGACCUCAGAGUGCUGACAGCACCACGGCCCCUUAUCUGUCCUUUCAGCAUACAACCCCAGGAGCUAGUGGGCUCUGGAUUCAUGGCUGUGACUGCGGGAGGCAGGCCACGGCCUCAGUGCAGUCGAGACAAAUGGAGCUGUAAGGCUGACAGAGGAACAGGCACGGAGCAAGCAGAAACAUCUCAUUAACGGCAUGAGCUGUAAUGCCCCUGCUCCACACGCAGGCUUUAGGCACGAACCCUAACACAAAGCUAAGAAGA